rnacentral:rRNA from 1 species
AACCUGGCGGCGUGCUUACACACUGCAAGUUGAACGAUGAAGCUGGAGCUUGCUCCGGUGGAUUAGUGGCGAACGGGUGAGUAACACGUGAGAAAUCUGCCCUUGACUCUGGGAUAACUGCGGGAAACUGUAGCUAAUACCGGAUACUUUCCCUGGCGGGCAUCCGCUAGGGAAGAAAGAAUUUCGGUCAAGGAUGAUCUCGCGGCCUAUCAGCUAGUUGGUGAGGUAACGGCUCACCAAGGCGACGACGGGUAGCCGGCCUGAGAGGGUGACCGGCCACACUGGGACUGAGACACGGCCCAGACUCCUACGGGAGGCAGCAGUGGGGAAUAUUGCACAAUGGGCGAAAGCCUAGAUGCAGCAACGCCGCGUGAGGGAUGAAGGCCUUCGGGUUGUAAACCUCUUUUAGCAGGGAAGAAGCGAAAGUGACGGUACCUGCAGAAAAAGCACCGGCUAACUACGUGCCAGCAGCCGCGGUAAUACGUAGGGUGCAAGCGUUGUCCGGAAUUAUUGGGCGUAAAGAGCUCGUAGGCGGUUUGUCGCGUCUGCUGUGAAAAUCCAAGGCUCAACCUUGGACUUGCAGUGGGUACGGGCAGGCUAGAGUGCGGUAGGGGAGAAGGGAAUUCCUGGUGUAGCGGUGGAAUGCGCAGAUAUCAGGAGGAACACCAAUGGCGAAGGCACUUCUCUGGGCCGUAACUGACGCUGAGGAGCGAAAGCGUGGGGAGCGAACAGGAUUAGAUACCCUGGUAGUC